CAUGCAAGUCGAGCGGUAACAGGUGUAGCAAUACAUGCUGACGAGCGGCGGACGGGUGAGUAACGCUUGGGAAUCUGCCUGUUAGUGGGGGACAACCCGGGGAAACUCGGGCUAAUACCGCAUACGCACUACGGUGGAAAGCCGGGGACCGCAAGGCCUGGCGCUAACAGAUGAGCCCAAGUCGGAUUAGCUAGUUGGUAGGGUAACGGCCUACCAAGGCGACGAUCCGUAACUGGUCUGAGAGGACGACCAGUCACACCGGAACUGAGACACGGUCCGGACUCCUACGGGAGGCAGCAGUGGGGAAUAUUGGACAAUGGGGGCAACCCUGAUCCAGCGACGCCGCGUGGGUGAAGAAGGCCUGCGGGUUGUAAAGCCCUUUCGGUGGGGAAGAAAAGUCUCGGCCUAAUACGCUGGGACCUUGACGUAACCCACUAAAGAAGCACCGGCUAACUCUGUGCCAGCAGCCGCGGUAAUACAGAGGGUGCGAGCGUUAAUCGGAAUUACUGGGCGUAAAGCGCGCGUAGGCGGCUUUUCAAGUCGGAUGUGAAAUCCCCGGGCUCAACCUGGGAACUGCAUUCGAGACUGUCUAGCUAGAGUAUGGGAGAGGGAAGUGGAAUUUCAGGUGUAGCGGUGAAAUGCGUAGAUAUCUGAAGGAACAUCAGUGGCGAAAGCGACUUCCUGGACCAAUACUGACGCUCA
rnacentral:rRNA from 1 species